rnacentral:rRNA from 1 species
GUCUCUUCGUUUUUUUAGUAUGGGGAGUCUGGCCUGCCCGGUGACUAAUGAGUUAAACGGCCGCGGUACUCUGACCGUGCAAAGGUAGCAUAAUCAUUUGCCUCUUAAUUGGGGGCUAGUAUGAAUGGCUUGACGAAAGCAUAUCUGUCUCUCUUGUAUAUUUUCUAGAAAUUGAUUUUCAGGUGAAAAAGCCUGAAUUUAUCUAAAAGACAAGAAGACCCUGUUGAGCUUAAAUAUAUUUUUGAGGGAGUAAGCUAUAUAUCAGUAUAAGUUUUUUCUUUUAUUUGUUUUUGGUUGGGGCGACCUAGGAACAGGUAAAACUUCCUUAAAGAAGUUUGUAGACUGUCGGGUUUGGAUCCGCUAUAUAGUGAUUAAGGGAAAUAGUUACCACAGGGAUAACAGCGUGAUCCUUUUUGAGAGUUCUUAUUGAAAAGAGGGGUUGCGACCUCGAUGUUGGACUAGGAUUUCCGGAAGGUGAAGAAGUUUUCCAGGGCUAGUCUGUUCGACUAUUAAAAUCCUACA